UACGUAGGGCGCAAGCGUUAUCCGGAAUUAUUGGGCGUAAAGAGCUCGUAGGCGGUUUGUCGCGUCUGCCGUGAAAGUCCGGGGCUCAACUCCGGAUCUGCGGUGGGUACGGGCAGACUAGAGGUAUGCAGGGGAGAACGGAAUUCCUGGUGUAGCGGUGGAAUGCGCAGAUAUCAGGAGGAACACCGGUGGCGAAGGCGGGUCUCUGGGCCGAUACUGACGCUGAGGAGCGAAAGCGUGGGGAGCGAACAGG
rnacentral:rRNA from 1 species